rnacentral:rRNA from 1 species
GGGUGCAAUCAUACCAGCUUUAAUGCACCGGAUCCCAUGAGAACUCCGCAGUUAAGCGCGCUUGGGCUAGAGUAGUACUGGGAUGGGUGACCUCCCGGGAAGUCCUAGUGUUGCACCCU